rnacentral:lncRNA from 1 species
UUAGAAGUUUUUAGAUCUGAAAAAUUCAAAAACAAGUUUCAGCAGUCUAGAGAGAUCCAAAAACUCUGAAAAAUUCAAAAUUUUAAAUCCUAGAGCUUAGAGAAAUCAAAAAAUUCAAUUCAAAUUCAAAUUCUUAAAGUGAUCUUAAGUUCCAGGUUUUGAAUUGACAUUCCAGCUUAUCUAAGGUUGAAAAGAGCUUGAGUCUUCCCUGUUUUUUGGGAAUUUGAAGUUUCAGAGAUCCUGUUUGUUAUUUCGAGUUGAAUUGGGUUCAUUUGGGUUUUGUUUUGAUUGCCUUACUGGUGCUACACAACUGAAAUUAAUUCCUGGGUCAUUUGUUAUUAUUUGCUGGGGUUCAAAUUGAGUUUAUCGUUGUUGUUUGUUGCUGCUCAACUGAUGUUCAAUUCUCCUUCAUUUUGUUUCAAUUUCCAGGUAUAUAUCAUGUAGCUCUCAAGUUUUUAAAAUAAAAUGAAGUGCUGCGUGGUUUCUUUGCUGAAUUUCAUAGUUGUAUUUCAAAUAGUUUCAGGACUUCAUUGAAUUUUCAUCUGUAAAAACUGGACUAUUUGGACCGUUUGAACUGCUUUUCAGCAUAGUUCGACUACUAUAUCUAGUAUAGUUUUAGUCUAGUUUAGUUUCAGUUGAAAUCUGAUAUCAUGUUAGUAUAGUGUUGAAUUAGAGUUACACUCAGAUCCCCGUCCAAUAAAAUCUAUCAAUGAAUUAUAUAGGUCGAUACGUUAUUCUGGAAUAAAUUCUUAUAUGACUAUGUAUAUCAUUAGAAGGUGUACAAUCUAAAUACAAGCUUAAAAUUUAAGUUUAAAAGCAGUAUGUAAACUGUGCCAUUUACCUGUUUGCUUUGACACAUAUAAAUCCAGAAAAAUAUGUUUAAAUUUGGUUUUAUUUGUUUUAGAAUGUCUUAAUUACCCCAAAAUCAGAUCAUGAGUAGUUUAAUUGUUUAGUUCUUCACAUGUUUUAGUUAUUUAGUUAAUUGUGGAUUUAAUUAUAAAUAUAAACUUUGGCCUUCAAUUUAGGUGGCAGAUUUGAAUUAUGGGAUUUUCAGCAAUGGAAAUUUCCCUUGUUUAAAUUUGGACCUAAUCUUGAGGCGCGAACCUUUUCCAAAUACCUUAAAUAAUGACUAAUUCAUAAUGUUAAUUAAUUAGUCCUUUAGAGACAAUCUUUAAUAAAGAAUAAUAGUCCCUUUUAGGAUGACCUUUAAAAUAAAAUGAUGUGUGCUACGCCAAACAAAUUCCAUAAAUUGUAUGGUCCUCUUUAAUUGCUUCUGUAAAAAUAUUUAGAAAUUAGGUAAAUCAUUUAGCAAAUCUCCAUGGCUUCCCACAAAGAAAUCAACACACUAAUUACUUUAGGCGCACCUUUUAAUAAAUCUACCUUCUUACACUCGGGUGUGCAUUUCAUGUGACCCAAAUCCAAAUUCUAAAAUGUUGAAUAAAAUGUAUUGUUUAUCCGGGUGCAUUUCAUGUGACAUGAUCCAAAAUACAUUUUAAACGACGUUCAAACCUUCUUUAAAAAUUCGUAAAAAGCGGUAAAUAAUUUUAAAAUUGCACUAUAGGAUAAACAUAUUUAAAAUCAUAUAAUUAGCCAAUUACAAUAGUUUAAGCGAUCAUGCUAGAACCACGGAAUCCGAGGGUGCCCAACACCUUCCCUCGGGUUAAUAAAAUUCCUUACUCAAGAAUUUCUGGUUCGCAGACUUCAUUUGGAAAGUCAAAAUUUUCUCGGUUUGGGAUUCAAGAUAAACCGGUGACUUGGGACACCAAAAAGUCAAACCUAUCCUAAGUAGCGACUCUGAUAAAUAAAUAAUCUCAUUUCAAAUAAUGUCACUUGAAUUGGAAGAACUCCCUCAUACAUUAUCCUUCAGGAUAGGUGUGUAAAAAAGGAGGUGUGACAUAGAAUAUUAAUUAUCAAAGAAUUAAAUAAGGGUUGUUCGAACAGUAUUAUGCAUUAAAACUUUUUUCAAUCCAUUUUUGGAGAAGAAAACAUGAAAACAAAAAACAAAAUCAUUGCACCAAAAGUUUCCAUAUAAGUGUAGGAAAUGUCGGGGAAACCAAAUUUGACCUUCUUUCUUUCACUAGACAUCAUCAUGUUGUUGAAAAUGUAAAUCUCACUUUGAAUUUUAAGCAGAGAUGGGUUCAUACAUAAUUACCACUAUAUGAAUAGCUUUUUAUCAUCUUCCAUGUUUCUUGCUUUAAAUAUAUGUAUAUUUUAUUUUUGUUUUGGUUUUGCAGUAUAUAUUGAUAUCUUGAAGAAUAUAAUUAUGCCACCAAAAUGUUACCUACCCUUUAAGCAAAAGCAAAAGAAAAUGGAUUAAGCGCAUGCAGUUUCUUGUUUACUUUAUAAAGUUUGACUUGACUUGUACAUCGUAGACGUGUCAAGUUAGCAAAUCGUCAUUCUUUAAACCAUUAUUAUACCUGCAAAUCACUUUCUUUUAAUAUUUGAACUGUUUAAGAAAAUGUAGUAUCAUUUUAUUUACAACAAAAUAAGCAGUUUCGUCAGGAAGAAGUACUAUAUUUUCUACUCCAUUCUAGUUUUAACAAGUAAAACAAUUUUUUUAAAAGGAUAUCGGCAUUGAAGAAAACAAAAUCGUCUUUUGCUCAUUCCACCUGAGAAAUGAUAAUUUUCUUUUGCUCAUUCCACCUGACUUUUUCAUUGAAAGCUACCUGUUGGUUUGAACUUUGAAGAGCUGUGUAUUUUUCCUCAAAAACAAUUGCACAUGUAAGAGUUAGACCUAGAUGUGGAGUAAUUUGAACUUUGAUUUUGUAAUUUAAUAUUUGUGUUAUUACGCAAAAAAAAAAAACUAAGAUGGGGGCAAUAAAUGCCAAGCUGGUUAGAGGGAUGUCAAAAAUUGGGACUCACAAUCGCUAGCUAAUAUGUUUUUCCUUCGUACCUUUCUUUGUUCAUGGUUCAAUAUUUUGGUGUCUCAGGAAUUUCCAGCGUGAAGUUCUUCUUUUUGCUCGUUCCACCUGACUUUUUCGCUAAAUGAUCAUCCAAGUUUCACCCAUAUAUAUUGUCAUUGCAUGAGUUUUCUAUACUAUCAAGUUAAUUGUUUAACAUAUAAUGAUAAAUUUCAUGUAUCAUUAUGUCUUACUUUUCACGUUACUAACUUCACUAAUUAUUAUGAAAGAGUUACAUGUCAUUACUUUAAAGUGACUUUGAGGGUGUCAAAGAAUUUCAUUUGUCCACGGAUGUGAGUCCGUUUAAAGGUUUUGAUGCUAUUUUUGAAGGUCAACGACUGGGAAGUUAAUAACUGUAAUUUCACGUUUACUUUAGGAUUUCAAAAAAUUGGCUAGUUGGCAAAGUAGUAAUAGAUUUGAAGCGUAGGGUAGGAUUUAGGAGUUGUGAUAAGGAAGGUUUGUCUUGCGGAAAAGCAUAAGUUGGUUAAUAUAUUAAUGUUUGUCAUAUUCUAUUGGGAUUUGCUUUGGCUGUCACUCUCUGAGUUUGGUUGAUAAUUUCUUAAUUUUAGAACGAGCAUAAGUUGACUUUGACUUCAAAAUUAUAUUAAUUACCGAAAGUAUUAGGUGGUUGGCCAAAACUUAGGUGCGUCUGAUACCAAAUUCUGGUAUCGAGAGGCAAUGUAACAGUUACAAUGAACAAGAAGAGAAGAUACCAAAUUUUGGUAUCGAGAAGCAAUGUAACAGUUACUAUGAACAAGAAGAGAAUGAGUAGAAGUGUUGACCCAAGUAAAGAAGAGUUUUGAAGAUUGAUAAAGGAACUUAAGAUAUGGAUCAGACAUAUUCUAGUAAACAAUAGAUAAGGUCAACUCAAGCAUGUGAGUUGCACGUGAAGGAGAUAAACCUCACUUACCAUAAAUGAUGUUUCUUGAUCCCGAUCGAAAAGGUUGCAUAUGGGAUAAGGAGAAAGACUCCUUACACAAAGAGAACACGGCUUAAGAGAUGUAUAGAGCUAGAGGAUGAGAUCAACUAGAACUCUUUCACCAAGGAAGAGUAGCAUCUGUAUUUUAGUCAAUCUCUACUUACUAACUUAAUAAAUAUCAGUGUUAUUCUCUUUCACAGAUAUGCUGAUGGGUUUUCAAUGUCUUAACCUUAUGUUUUGAUGAUCUAACAAACUUGUUAUGAAGAACUAGAUAGAUAACCUUGUCCCACAGGAUACACAUCUCAAGUCUGAAAUCUGCAAAUGGAUGAACGCUCACAGUGAGGAACACAACAGGGACCCGAUGUGUUGGUUCCUUAAGAGUCUCCAGUAACAGAACAAGUCAGUGACUACAUGCAAUCAAUAUAAAGAAAAACAUAAUAGGUACCUGUUCCCUGGAGGUUCUCUGACAUAAUUACAGAUCAAGUGCACAACUGGAACAUAGCAAGAGAAAGUGACCAUCUGGCAACUUUUGUAGAUGAGGAACAGAAUCAGGACCAGGUCCGAUUGUGUGUUCUGACUGAAGUACAAAAUCAACUAUUCAGUUGGAAUGCAACUGCCCAGAAGCGGCUGUGUAGACAGUGCAACAGUGACUUCUCACGAAGAAGAAGUACACCAAGAGUUGACAUCACUACCCAUUGUAAUAUCUUUUGUGGUAAAACAACCAUGUGCAGGACAUACAAUAGUGUGCAUUUAGUGAUAUUCUCAAAAAGUAGAAGAAGCAUUCAUCCAACAUUGAAGUCACUGGUGUGUCAAAGACAAGAGGACUACUUUACUAAGGAUCAAUUCUAGCAGAGUCUUAUGUAUAUCUAUAGUUGAGUUGUAAUUUUGUCAUUUGUUCUACAUUGUAAUUCCUAGUUUGCUUUUUUAGAAACACUAUUUUAUGAACAAACCAAAUUCGUAAAUAUUAGAGUUUAUGUUGUGACUAAGAGUAGUCAUAAGUUAAAUCUUCUGUAACUAGGAAUGUUAUAGAGUGGCU